UACGUAGGAUGCAAGCGUUGUCCGGAUUUAUUGGGCGUAAAGAGAACGUAGGUGGUUUCUUAAGUUUGGUCUUAAAGACCGGGGCUCAACCCCGGGAAUGGACUGAAUACUGGGAGACUAGAGGAUGUUAGAGGAAAGUGGAAUUCCAAGUGUAGCGGUGAAAUGCGUAGAUAUUUGGAGGAACACCAGUGGCGAAAGCGGCUUUCUGGGACAUUCCUGACACUGAGGUUCGAAAGCUCGGGGAGCAAACAGG
rnacentral:rRNA from 1 species